rnacentral:rRNA from 1 species
GCAUAUCAAUAAGCGGAGGAAAAGAAACCAACAGGGAUUACCUCAGUAACGGCGAGUGAAGCGGUAAAAGCUCAAAUUUGAAAUCUGGCUCUUUUAGAGUCCGAAUUGUAAUUUGUAGAAGAUGCUUCGGGUGUGGUUCCGGUCUAAGUUCCUUGGAACAGGACGUCAUAGAGGGUGAGAAUCCCGUAUGUGACUGGAUACCUAUGCUCAUGUGAAGCUCUUUCGACGAGUCGAGUUGUUUGGGAAUGCAGCUCAAAAUGGGAGGUAUAUUUCUUCUAAAGCUAAAUAUUGGCCAGAGACCGAUAGCGCACAAGUAGAGUGAUCGAAAGAUGAAAAGCACUUUGGAAAGAGAGUUAAACAGUACGUGAAAUUGUUGAAAGGGAAGCGCUUGCAAUCAGACUUGCACUUGGUGUUCAUCAGGGUCUCGUACCCUGUGUACUUCAUCAAGUUCAGGCCAGCAUCAGUUUGAGUGGUUAGAUAAAGGCUUAGAGAAUGUGGCCCUCUUCGGGGGGUGUUAUAGCUCUAGGUGCAAUGUAGCCUACUUGGACUGAGGACCGCGCUUCGGCUAGGAUGCUGGCGUAAUGGUUGUAAGCGACCCGUCUUGAAACACGGACCAAGGAGUGUACCUAAUAUGCGAGUGUUUGGGUGUUAAACCCAUACGCGUAAUGAAAGUGAACGCUGGUGAGAACCCUUAAGGGUGCAUCAUCGACCGAUCUUGAUGUCUUCGGAUGGAUUUGAGUAAGAGCAUAUUGGGUGCGACCCGAAAGAUGGUGAUCUAUACGUGAAUAGGGUGAAGCCAGAGGAAACUCUGGUGGAGGCUCGCAGCGGUUCUGACGUGCAAAUCGAUCGUCAAAUUUGCGUAUAGGGGCGAAAGACUAAUCGAAUCAUCUAGUAGCUGGUUCUGCGAAG